rnacentral:rRNA from 1 species
GACGAACGCUGGCGGCGUGCUUAACACAUGCAAGUCGAACGGAAAGGCCCUGCUUUUGUGGGGUGCUCGAGUGGCGAACGGGUGAGUAACACGUGAGUAACCUGCCCUUGACUUUGGGAUAACUUCAGGAAACUGGGGCUAAUACCGGAUAGGAGCUCCUGCUGCAUGGUGGGGGUUGGAAAGUUUCGGCGGUUGGGGAUGGACUCGCGGCUUAUCAGCUUGUUGGUGGGGUAGUGGCUUACCAAGGCUUUGACGGGUAGCCGGCAUGAGAGGGUGACCGGCCACAUUGGGACUGAGAGACGGCCCAGACUCCUACGGGAGGCAGCAGUGGGGAAUAUUGCACAAUGGGCGGCAGCCUGAUGCAGCAACGCCGCGUGCGGGAUGACGGCCUUCGGGUUGUAAACCGCUUUCGCCUGUGACGAAGCGUGAGUGACGGUAAUGGGUAAAGAAGCACCGGCUAACUACGUG